UGGUGUGUUUACCCUAUUUUCAUUCAAUUUCCUCCCCUUUCAAUUCAGUGGUUCUCUCGUUCCUCUCGUACGUACCACGUAUCAAGAGUUCGGUUUUCCUAUUCGUGACCUGGUUUUGACAUGGAUCAGAUUCCGAUCUACUCGCCAAUCGAGCUUUUCCUACGAAUUGAUUUUCCAAGAUUUGAAGCCCGGUGUCACCGAUCUACCGUUCAGAGCUGUGAUGAUCGUGUUCGUGUUGCUUGUUUCGUGAAGGCUCGAUGAUUAUAGCGCAGAUCGCCAGAACAAAAUUACCAGGUCCAGCGCUUCAUAGUUGCCGUUCCUGUGUGGAGUUCUUCGCAUUCGGAUUUAAAGAAAUUAUAUGAGGAUUCUUGAGGGGAAAUUUUCGGUGUAUGUAGUAGAAUGAAUAUUUGGGGAUGAAGUGGUUAUGGAGAAUUUUGUCAACCGACCUUUGCCAUGACAGGUGCGCUUGCAUGGCAGGUCAAAACAAAUUAAUAAAAAAAAAUUAUUUGUGGGUUUUGAGGGAGAUCGCACGGGAAUUCCCGGGUUCUCCCUCUGGUGUGGUGGUGUGUGUCUGUGUUCCUUUUCCUUCCUUCUCUCUUUCUUUAUAUUUUUCUUUUCCUUUCUCACUCUUCUUGCGACGGAUACACCACCACUGGACUCGCUUCGUCAUCGAACUAAAGAGGUAUCGUCUAAUCUAUCAAUUUAACUUUACCUUUACAAUAACGCCUUUCUUUUUUUCGUAACAUAGUCAAUAUACUAACAACAACUAACAAAAUUAAUGCAAUUGCAAACAUUGAAACAAGUAACUCGUAUAUGAGAAAUUAAUCACUGUAGUUUAUCUCUCGAAAUGGUGAAUUAGUAAUUGAAGUGAUAUUAUGAUGUUAAUUCUAAUUUUGACCGUUUUCUUGUAUUUACUGGGAAUAUCUAACAGCUUGGAUGCUAGAUUCGUAACAACAACAUUGAUCCUCCGGUCGACUUCUGUAAUAACUAAUCAAAAGGCGAAACUACUAGUUAACACUUGAUUGAUAACUUUUAAAAUUUUGCAACACUAUUACUACGAGUAUCGUUUCCGGUUUGAGUUCUUAUCAUUAAUUGUAACCCACAAUCUGUUCUCCUUGACUUUUAGCAUUUCAUUUUCCCACAAUGCAUAGAUUUUUCUGUAGAUAUACUCGUUCGAUUGAAGUCUUCGCAGCGGGAAGGGUGUGAACAGUGUUUCACCGUAUCAAAUAUUGCAGUGAUCUUCCUCAGCUUGACUAGAAAGAAUUUCAAGGUUUCAGGUGUACAAAAGGCCAAAUUCAAGGGAACAUUUCAAAUAUAUCUUCUUAUUCAUCAAUAUUUUGAGAUAUAUACUCUUUCAAUUGAAGUCUCCGGAACUGGAAGGGUGUGAAUUGAGUUUUUGAAAUGAUCUUCCUCAGUUUCACAGGAAAGAAUUGCAAGGUUUCAGGUGUUCAAAAGGCUAAAUUCAAGGGAACGUUUCAAGUGCAUAGCUUUCUCAAAUUUUUCGUAAAUGAAGUACCAUAUUCUUUCGGUCUCUGGAAUUAGAUAAUUGGUUGAUUUGUUGUGGGUAAAAGAGGCAGAAUGUUUUAUUUUUAAAUUAAGUUUAUUUCAUACUUGGAUUAAUUUAUCAUGAGGAUGUAAUUGAGACAAUUUUAUA